UAAGUCUCACUUUCCUCAAUACAUCAAUGAAAACUUCUUCCUCCUCUCUCUAUCAUCUGAAAUUAAUGUUGUUCAUCCAUGGAAAUGGUUAAUCUUCACAUGGUAUCACAGCAGGGAUUAUGAUUCCGCUUGUCACGGACUUCGUUGCGAUGUUACCCUCACCGUUUUUCGUCAAAGCUUCUGUCUUCUCCGACAAAUCUAGGUUUUUCUCUUUUUCUCAGUUUUUCUCUGGAUAUUCUUCGGUGAUUGUUGGUUUUUUUUGAGUUUUCUGAGUUUCAUACUUUCUCUCGUCAGUCCAAACAUAGGAGUCAGUCGAUUCCUGAAGUUUUUUUUACCUAGGAGCACUUAGGGUUUCUUAAUCUUAAAAAUUUCAAGCCCAAAAUUCUUUCUCAGUCAAAAUGGUUAAUGUUGGUGAUACAUCUGAGUCUAGGACUGAUAACUUUGUAAUUGACCCCUCGAACCCUUUGUUU
rnacentral:lncRNA from 1 species